rnacentral:misc_RNA from 1 species
GAUGAAGAACGUAGCGAAAUGCGAUAAUUAAUGUGAAUUGCGGAAUUCCGUGAAUCAUCGAGUCUUUGAACGCACAUUGCGCCUCAUGGCAUUCCGUGAGGCAUGCCCAUCUCAGCGUUAGAAAAUAUUCUCAAAUUUUAGUUUUGUGCUAAAAUUUGGAUCAUGUCAAGGAAGCUAUUACUAUUAUUGUGAUCGCUCUUUGGAAAUUGAUAGGUCUUUGAGUUGCUACUCAUAGAACGUGAUGAAUCUUUCUUCGUUCUAUUGUAAUUCACUCUGGUAGUCCUAAAACUUGUAUGCCUGUGGCAUAUCUUGUAAUUUGACCUGAGAUUGGGUAGGGAUACCCGCUGAACUUAAGCAUAUCAAUAAGCGGAGGA